CUGAGAAGAAUAAAUUAAUGUUGCUUACUAAUUCUAACUCUAAUUCUUUCCCCAUCCCAUUCAAUAUGGGUCCCUCCAUUGAAACAAUUUAUUUUACUCUCCAGAUUCCGCAAUAUUAUGUUGUCAUUAUUAGCCGCAGACCGCACUACUCAAGGACUGCCAAGAAUCUCAUUUACACCGAUUUCCCGGCCCAAUUUUGGCUCAAUUUGGUGACCUCAUAAACUUUCAUUAAAAAAUUUUGAAAGGUUGGUAAUUAUUAUUUAUAAUAUUUGAAUUAAUUUAUUAAUUUGUUUGUUACUUUUUGUCUAAACUGGAAACUUGCAUAUCUUUUGGCCUCAACACUUAAAGGUUAUAUUCAAUCCAAUGUUUUUCUAUACUAUCCUCUGACGCUGACUGAACUUGAAGUAAUGUUUGCAAUUCAAAAUGAGUAACCAGUAAUUAAUGGAAAGUUAGGCAUAAAAUUUCACUGAUUUCCUGAGUCGAAAUGGCUUUACCCUGGAAAAGGUGUUUCUGUUUAGUUUAGGUAGGUAGAUAGAUAGAUAGGUGUUCUGUUUUGUUUGAAUAGAUAGUCUGUCCGUAAAUAUUAAACAUCCGACAUCUGUAGUAUCAAGAAUUUAGUUUCAAUUCUUUGUCAGUAUUUCACUUUUACUGAGGUAUUUUUUUUUCUUGCUUAGUUAUGCGCUGAAUAUUUUGGCCCAAUUAUUGAGUUGUGGCUGAAUUGCCUCUUGUCAGUUUGGAAAAUGGAACCUGCUAGCACUGUUUAUCUAAUCAAUAUUUGUUGAAGACUGCUUUUUUGAUGCAAAUAUGAGACUGAGGGUUCUUGAAAUCCUUACCACUUUUUACAAAUCACAGAUGAUGGGGGACUCGCACAAUUCAACAAACGGUCUUUCGUUCCUAGUCAGCUGGAUGUCUAACAGCACUCAAGCGUACCCAACUCUAAUUCCGAAAAACAUCUUUCAACCAGAAUUGAGCUGGUAUGCCCUCUUUGUUCUCGAAAUUGAAGAGA
rnacentral:lncRNA from 1 species